GAGUUUGAUCAUGGCUCAGAACGUACGCUGGCGGCACGCCUAACACAUGCAAGUCGAACGAAGUAGCAAUACUUAGUGGCAGACGGGUGAGUAACAUGUAGGUAUCUGCCCUUUGGCCUGGAAUAACACGAGGAAACUUGUGCUAAUACUGGAUAAGUCUUUACGGAGAAAGCUUUAUGCACCAUUGGAUGAGCCUGCACUUGAUUAGUUUGUUGGUAGGGUAAUGGCCUACCAAGACUGUGAUCAAUAGCUGAUUUGAGAGGAUGAUCAGCCACAUUGGGACUGAGACACGGCCCAAACUCCUACGGGAGGCAGCAGUGGGGAAUCUUGCACAAUGGAGGAAACUCUGAUGCAGCGAUGCCGCGUGAGUGAAGAAGGCCUUUGGGUUGUAAAGCUCUUUCGUCGGGGAAGAAAAUGACUGUACCCGAAUAAGAAGGUCCGGCUAACUUCGUGCCAGCAGCCGCGGUAAUACGAAGGGACCUAGCGUAGUUCGGAAUUACUGGGCUUAAAGAGUUCGUAGGUGGUUGAAAAAGUUAGUGGUGAAAUCCCAGAGCUUAACUCUGGAACUGCCAUUAAAACUUUUCAGCUAGAGUAUGAUAGAGGAAAGCAGAAUUUCUAGUGUAGAGGUGAAAUUCGUAGAUAUUAGAAAGAAUACCAAUUGCGAAGGCAGCUUUCUGGAUCAUUACUGACACUGAGGAACGAAAGCAUGGGUAGCGAAGAGGAUUAGAUACCCUCGUAGUCCAUGCCGUAAACGAUGUGUGUUAGACGUUGGAAAUUUAUUUUCAGUGUCGCAGCGAAAGCGAUAAACACACCGCCUGGGGAGUACGACCGCAAGGUUAAAACUCAAAUGAAUUGACGGGGACCCGCACAAGUAGUGGAGCAUGUGGUUUAAUUCGAAGAUACGCGCAGAACCUUACCAACACUUGACAUGUUCGUCGCGACUUUAAGAGAUUAAAGUUUUCGGUUCGGCCGGACGAAACACAGGUGCUGCAUGGCUGUCGUCAGCUCGUGUCGUGAGAUGUUGGGUUAAGUCCCGCAACGAGCGCAACCCUCACUUUUAGUUGCCAUCAUUAAGUUGGGCACUCUGAAAGAACUGCCAGUGAUAAGCUGGAGGAAGGUGGGGAUGACGUCAAGUCCUCAUGGCCCUUACGUGUUGGGCUACACACGUGCUACAAUGGUAUCUACAACAGGAAGCAAGACGGCGACGUUAAGCAAAUCCUUAAAAGAUACCUCAGUUCGGAUUGCACUCUGCAACUCGAGUGCAUGAAGCUGGAAUUACUAGUAAUCGUGGAUCAGCGUGCCACGGUGAAUGCGU
rnacentral:rRNA from 1 species